UUGCUUAGGCAGCACAUAUACUAAAAGUGGAUGAAUACAGAGAAGAUUAGCAUGGCCCCUGUGCAAGGAUGAUACUCAAUUUCCUGACAUGUUCCAUAAUAUU